AAACAGGUCAAGGUGACCAGGGUCAAUGGUUUGGUUAUAAAUAGGGCAAGGUGACCGGGGACAAUAGUUUGGUUAUUAACGGGGCAAGGUGACAAGGAGACAAUAGUUGGUUAUAAACAGGGCAAGGUGACCGGGGACAAUAGUUUGGUUAUAAACAGGGCAAGGUGACCGGGGACAAUAGUUGGUUAUAAACAGGUCAAGGUGACCGGGGACAAUAGUUUGGUUAUAAACAGGGCAACGUGAAUGGGGGACAAUAGUUUGGUUAUAAACAGGGCAAGGUGAACGGGGGACAGUAGUUUGGUUAUAAACAGGGCAAGGUGAACGGGGGACAGUAGUUUGGUUAUAAACAGGGCAAGGUGAACGGGGGACAGUAGUUUGGUUAUAAACAGGGCAAGGUGAACGGGGGACAGUAGUUUGGUUAUAAAGAGGUCAAGGUGACCAGGG
ensembl:lncRNA